rnacentral:lncRNA from 1 species
UAUAUAAACAUUUCUUUUAAUACUCUAGUUAUUAGGUGACAAGGAGUCAUAGAGUUUUCUAUUUACAUUUAUAUUUAGAAAUCUCCAAACACAUUCAUCAAGUGAGUAUUUAAAUACAUUGUUUGCAUCAUAAAUGAUGUGUCCAUAAUUACAUGUCAUAUGCAGUGUUUGUUUGAUUUUAAUUAUCUAUCAUUAAUGUAUUAAUCUUAUACUCGUAUCAACAAAUAACACAUUAGAUACAGUCAGUGGCAGAGUCACUACAAGAAGCGCGGGGGUAGCUACUCGUGUGAGUCUGAAAAAUUUUAGAAAAUAUAUUUUGUCUGUUUCAAUUAACAUUACAAACCUGUCCUUACUGGAUUAAUUAUUUCAUUUUUUUAAGUUCAAAUUGUUUUAAAAUUAUAUCAUCUACUUAUAAUUUCCAGCUCAAUUUUAAAACUUAAAUUAAGUAGAAAUGCCGAAUCAAAUGGAAUUCAUUAAAUUUAAUAUUA